CACCCCCACAGCAACACACAACUGUCACACACACACUGUACAUAUACACAAGCACACCCCCACACAACACACAACUGCCACACACACACACUGUAAUAUACACAUGCACACCCCCAAAGCAACACACAACUGCCACACACACACUGUACAUAUACACAAGCACACUCCCACAGCAACAUGUACUUACAAACACAAAGAAAUGGAGGCUUGGAGGGCCUCGACUGAGGAAAGGAGCGUGAAAGGGAAAUGUAUUGAAGAAGUGGGUGGAGCAGUGGUUCUUACCAUUCAGGGAACCUUGGCAUUAUGGGUAACUCACUAGAACACCCAUACUGUCCCCUGUGUGCUCACCCUCAGGGUGAGGUGCUGGGAUUGCCAUUCUUAACAGUUUCUUUGGGUGGCUGUUGGGAUUGGGGACCUUUGGAGUUUUACUAUUUCUGUUUUGACCCCAUAUCUGUAAUUUGGUAGUCGGGGAUCACAAUUUUACAAAACAUUUGUACUCUAGGCUCAAUCACACACAAAACAGAGAUAAUGGUAAUUUAAUGGGUGUAAGGCUGAGCUGAUGUUCACAAACAUAUCUAGUGUAACAUUAAUUUAUCUAAGCACUCAGUUUCCUUCUUUUUUAUUUUUUCUUGGCAAGAACAAGCAUUCUUUAUUGCCUCCAUGGUCCCUUGUUAAAUUUACAUAACUUAGGUAAAACUGUUAUUUCAUUUUUUGUAUUAGAUAUUUUCUUUAUUUACAUUUC
rnacentral:lncRNA from 1 species